GAAGGAGGGUGCUAGCGUUGUUCGGAUUUACUGGGCGUAAAGGGCGCGUAGGCGGCCUGAUCAGUCGGGUGUGAAAGCCCGGGGCUCAACCCCGGAACGGCACCCGAGACGGUCAGGCUGGAGACCGGGAGAGGAGGGUGGAAUAGCCAGUGUAGAGGUGAAAUUCGUAGAUAUUGGCUGGAACACCGGUGGCGAAAGCGGCUCUCUGGCCCGGUUCUGACGCUGAGGCGCGAAAGCGUGGGGAGCAAACAGG
rnacentral:rRNA from 1 species